AGGCUCUUUAGAUUUUUAUUAUUAUUGUUAUUAAUGUAGACUUUGUAGAUUAUUAUUACUAUUAUUAUUAUUGUUAUUAUUAUUCCACACCCCGUCCCGUAAGUUUUCUAUCACGGAUUCACAGAGAGGCCGUCAUAGCAGGAGUAAUAUCCACGCACACAGAGCCACAGGCAGAAUAAGUGAUUCGCAGUGUUGGCAGCCAUUGCUGUGCAGCCAUUGAGACCUCAGCACUGUUCUCUGUCCCUGGCCCCCUCCGUGCAUUUAAUUCCCAGGUGUUGGAACCCGCCUCGUGCUGGGCCCUUUGACGUAGUUUCCCGUGUUGUAGCGACCCCGGACAUGAAAUAAAAUAAUUAAAGUAAAAGAAAUAAAAUAAAAUAAAUAGAAUAUAUAAAAUAGAAUAAAUAAAAUAAAUUUUAAAAAUAAAAUAAAAGUAAAAUUAAUUAAAUAAAAUAAGUGAAACAAAGUAAAUAAAAUUAAUAAAAUAAAAUAAAAUUAGACAUAAAAUUGUUUCGCGGCGACUUCAGAGUAGAAUAAAACAAAUAAUAUAAAGUUUAUUCGGCUUUUUUAAUCUCCUUACCCUCGGGAGUGGAGUUUUCAUCAUUUUUUCCUUUGCCCACUGACGACUUAGAAAUCACCUGCUUAAUGUUACGUACGUUUUACUUUAUUUAUCCUAUAUGAACGCCGUCUUCACACGCGGCAGGGCGUCAGAUCCCAUGGCAGACGACGGCUAGCAGCCACCGUGCGGUCGCUGGGAUUUGACUCGGGACCCCUGGGAGAGAGUGGUCGCUGCUCUAACCACUGAGCAACCCCUCCAGCCCCUCUUUCAAUUUCUUGGGGUUUGGUUUGGUUUUGGUUUUGGUUUUGGUUUUUUUUGCUGUAAAUCAACCCAUUUUACUGCUACAUCCACUUCAGCAGGGCCACACCCACUCCAGCUGGCCACACCCACUGCAACAGGGCCACACUAUGACAGAGCCAUGCCCACUCCAACACCAUUCCAACAGGGCCAUAGCCGGCAGGGCUAUGUCGCAGUCCUCACAGCCACUUGUCUUCAUUUUCCAUAGGGGACCCCGACAGGAAGCGCGAGGCCCUGGACCUCGCGGAAUUCACGCGGAGGCAACCAUGGUGGCGUAAGCUGUUCGGGCCAGAGUCUGGGCCCUCGGCUGAGAAGUACAGCGCGGCGACGCAGCUGGCCGUCGGGGGUGUCACUGGAUGGUGCACGGGGCUCGUGUUCCGGAAGGUCGGAAAGCUGGCAGCCACGGCCCUAGGAGGAGGGUUCUUCCUCCUGCAGCUGGCAAGCCACACGGGGUACAUCAGAGUCGACUGGCAGAGACUGGAAAAAGACGUAAAGAAAGCCAAGGCGCAGCUGAAGAUCCAUAGGGGUCGGCAAAUGCCCACUGAGGUCGGGAGCAAAGCCGAGGAG
rnacentral:lncRNA from 1 species